AUUGAACGCUGGCGGAAUGCUUUACACAUGCAAGUCGAACGGCAGCACGGGGCAACCUGGUGGCGAGUGGCGAACGGGUGAGUAAUACAUCGGAACGUGCCCAAUCGUGGGGGAUAACGUAGCGAAAGUUACGCUAAUACCGCAUACGAUCUACGGAUGAAAGCGGGGGAUCGCAAGACCUCGCGCGAGUGGAGCGGCCGAUGUCAGAUUAGGUAGUUGGUGGGGUAAAGGCUCACCAAGCCAACGAUCUGUAGCUGGUCUGAGAGGACGACCAGCCACACUGGAACUGAGACACGGUCCAGACUCCUACGGGAGGCAGCAGUGGGGAAUUUUGGACAAUGGGCGCAAGCCUGAUCCAGCCAUUCCGCGUGCAGGAUGAAGGCCUCGGUUGUAACUGCUUUGUACGGUACGAACGGACGAGCUCUAAUACAGUUUGCUAAUGACGGUACCGUAAGAAUAAGACACCGGCUAACUACGUAGCCAGCAGCCGCGGUAAAACG
rnacentral:rRNA from 1 species